CAGUAGCCGCGGUAAUACGAAGGGGGCUAGCGUUGUUCGGAUUUACUGGGCGUAAAGCGCACGUAGGCGGAUCGAUCAGUCAGGGGUGAAAUCCCAGAGCUCAACUCUGGAACUGCCUUUGAUACUGUCGAUCUGGAGUAUGGAAGAGGUGAGUGGAAUUCCGAGUGUAGAGGUGAAAUUCGUAGAUAUUCGGAGGAACACCAGUGGCGAAGGCGGCUCACUGGUCCAUUACUGACGCUGAGGUGCGAAAGCGUGGGGAGCAAACAGGAUUAGAUACCCCGGUAGUCCCUGUCUCUUAUAC
rnacentral:rRNA from 1 species